rnacentral:snoRNA from 1 species
UGCCACAAUGAUGACCGUUAUUUGCUACUCUUGAUCAAGAAGAUGAUGAGAACUUUUACCACCAUAACUUUCUGCUGAGGCA